CUUCUCUUGGAAAGGUUUCUGCUGGCCUUGGAAUUAUUCAGCCAGCAUUUGUGGGGAGCUGGCUUUGCCUUCUGGCUCAGAUUCCCCGGACAGACAUCACAAAGAGCGUAUUCCUACUUGGCAGCGUGAUUUAAGCGCUCAGUGUUAAGUAGGUGUGAUGAGGAUACCCAGGCUGAAAUACUGCCCUGCUUCCGAUUGGGGCUGAGCAGCAGAACAGAAGCAGAACAGGAUUCAAGAAGAGGCUUGUACAGUUUCAGCACCGAUGCUCUUUUCCCAGAGACCAUUAGAUCAAAGAGAAAGCGAAAGUAUUAGCAUUUAGGGACAACGGAACUGGGCCGAAUUGUGCAGUUCCAUACUGUGCUGGCAAAAAGGAAAUCACCAGGUUCUACCCUUUUUGGAUUAGGGAUGGAGGGUGCAGUGGACAGUUGGUGGCCUCUAGUUGAUAGAGCCUGGAUCUGCUUUGGACUGUCAUGUUGUCCCAGAAACGAAGGCAAACGAAUGCUGUGUGGCUUGUUAUCAGGAGAGCAGUAUCUAUUGGUGGGGCCCCAGGGCCUGCUGACAAAGUCCAUGUAAAGGCAAGGCUGAUGGAUGUCCAACAUUAAGGAGAAUGGGGAGAGGAAUAAAGUGGAAGAAGCCAAACA
rnacentral:lncRNA from 1 species